GAAAUGCGAUAAGUAAUGUGAAUUGCAGAAUUCAGUGAAUCAUCGAAUCUUUGAACGCACAUUGCGCCCGCCAGCACUCUGGCGGGCAUGUCUGUUCGAGCGUCAUUUCAACCCUCAGAACCCCUUGCGGGAUCUGGCGUUGGGGAUUGGCAUCCAGCCAGCCCCGAAAUCUAGUGGCGGUCCCUCCGCGACCUCCCCUGUGCAGUAGCGAUACCUCGCAGCGGGACAGCGGUCUGACCACGCCGUAAAACCCCCAACUUCUCAAGGUUGACCUCGAAUCAGGUAGGAAUACCCGCUGAACUUAAG
rnacentral:misc_RNA from 1 species